ensembl:lncRNA
AAGGUCCUGCCCACCAAGGAGGUCACUCGUUACACCUGAUGCCCCUUUCAUCUCUCAAACCCCUUGACAAAGCCAUUAGUUUCAAGUAACAUUUUUGGCCUCAAGAGGAAUUAUCACCCACUGAAAUCAAAAGCCAAAAAGAAAUGGCUUUGCAGUUGAUUCAGGGUGAAUGAGGAUAUUGAACUGCUCAUCUAUGAUUCCUGCCCUGGGAGAAGCCAGUUAGGUCCAGCAGUAUUUGUAACCCAGAGGUUGCAGAGGUUAUAGGGGAUGGGAUGGAAUAAGUGACCUGAAGACUUGCUUGUAUGGAGAACCAACAUACAAGCAAAGGAACUCUUUCCAGGCCUGGGUUAUUGACAUUAAAACCACAGAACUUAAUUAAAAAUGAAGGUAAUUAAAGCCAGAUGGAAGAAAGCUGUUUUUUUCUUUCUCUCUUUCUUUCUUUCUUUCUUUUUCUUUUUUUUUUUUUUCUUCCACAUACCAUGUUAUAGACUCAUAGCAUGACUCACGGGGAGAGAGCAGUAAGUCAAGGUGACUGGGAAUGUUCAAGGAGCGAUUAUCUGGGAUCAUUAGUGGGGCUGGUGGGCGGCAGCUAUAAACUGGGAACAGGUCCUGAUGAGGUGCAUGGCCUUUAACUUCUCUGGUAUGUAAUGAGAGCUGUAAAUCUCCCCAUUGCAGCAGCAGUGAUGCCAGUGCAUCCAACCAGCAGCCUUGCUUUAAUCUCUUUGUGACAUCAGGAGAAGAGGAGAGGGAUUCUUGCUGCAGGACCCGAGUCCCCUGAAGUGAGUGAAACAAUCCAUUUUCAUUGGAAAUUAUGUGCAGUACUGUGAAGGCUGAAAAGUGCCCUUGGGAUUAAAAUCUGGUCUGAAUAGCUUUGCUAUGAACCUUGAGGAACUGUACAAGUUUCCUGGGAUUUACACCUCUUGGAGCAGAACUUGGAGUUUUGCAUCUAAAAUCCCUGAGCUUAUCCACAUCUAUUUUUUUUUUUCUCUUUUCUGUAGUGAUCUGAGUGUUUCAGAAAGAAGGGAAGACUGGGUGUCCAUAUGGUACCACAGGUGGAAACCUAAGGCUAGGGUGACCUCUACAUGCAAUGUGUCACAAUAUGAGCUGGAUCAAGUCAUAGAAUCAUUGAAUCAUUUGAAUUGGAAAGGUCCAACCCCCUUGCAAAGAACAGGGAUACCUACAGCUCAAUCAGGUACAGACUGACCUUGAGUGUCUCCAGGGAUGGGGCAUCCAUCACCUCUCUGAGCAACCUGUGCCAGAGCCUCACCACUCUUACAGUAAAAAAACUUCUUUCUUGUAGACAGAUCUCUGCUUUUGUAGUCUGAAACCAUUUCCUCUUCUCCCAUCACAGCAGACCCUGCUAAAGGAUCUGUCCCUUUCUUUCUUACAGCCCCUUGUGAUACUUGAAAGGCCUCUCUCAUGUCACUUCUCUUCAGCCUGAACAGCCUGAUGUCAGCCUUCUCUUCAGGCUGAACAGCCCCAGCUCCCUCAGCGUGACCUCGUAGGGAGGUAUUCCAUCCCUAGGAUCUUUGUUGUGGCCCUCCUCUGGACAUACUUCAGUAGGUCCAUGUCUCUCCUGUACUGAGGACACAGUGCUCCAGGUGAGGUCUCACAGCGCACAGCAGAGUGACCGAUCACCUCCCUCUCCCUGCUGAUCACGCUGCAUUUGACACAGCCCAGGAUACGGUUGGCUUUCUGGGCUGUGAGGACACAAUCCUGGCUCUGUGCAGCUUCUAUCCACCAAAGGUCAUGCUGCUUCUUUGCGCCUCAGUGUCCUUCGCUGUAGAUCAGAGCUCCGUACAUUAUCCUGAAGGCAGUGGACUUUGAACGUUAAUAGGCCUAAGUUCAUUUUACCAAAUCUUAAAUUCUUAUUCACCUAAUAUUAAAUUAAACAUGUCAGGGAAGGAAAUUUAGGUGAUAUGAAUCAGAAUCUCAGAGGUUAUAGACGCACUGAAUCUGGAGUUGUUAGCAGACCCUUCACAGUCCUCCUCCACUAACUAUCCUGGCCAUAAGUCUUUUGGUUCUUGAAAUAGCUGGUUUAGGGGAUUGGACCAUUGUUUCCUUCCAAGUACACCGGGUUCCCUUAUGCAUGAGGCCUUGGCUCGCUCAUGGGGAGCCCCUAAAGCUGUGCCUCUACAAGUGCCAUGCACCAGAUUGCACUUUCUGGUUGCCUCCAGUCACUGAGAAUUUUAACAGUUAAAAAUCCAAAAUCCAAUGUCCCAAAGCAGACCUCAGGCAUUUCUCAGCCUUCCUGGACAAGUAUCCAUGCACAGACCUGGUGUAACAGUUUCUGCUUCUGGCAGCAAGAACACUUAUGUACUGCAAAGUGAUUGCCUACAAAUCAUUGGCUUCAAAUGGACCACAUCUCUGAAAGGAAUUUCCACAGCUUUUCUGGGCACCGAUCACAAGGUUAUUAGCCAUCUGCAAGCACAGACUGAUUAUGAGCUCACCACCUCGCUGGGCUAUCUCGUGUUGCAGCCGUCUAACUUUCAGACUCAGUUUUUCCCACUUCUGGAGUUGUACGCACUCCCCAGUGAGUAUCUCCGUUAGCGAUAAAUCAUGAGGUUCAGUUCUAUGGCUCCACGAGCUCUCUGCCUGCUCCAGAGUUUGCCAGAUUUAACCCAGUAUCGAUCCUUACCUACUCUUUCGUGCCUACUAAAUACUGGGUUGUCAAUCUUCCCUCAAUUUUGACACUGAUGUUCAAGUCCAAAUAAGAUGUUGCAGUUAACUUCUGUUCUUUCAAACCUUUGGGUGUAGCAUUUCCAUCUAACAUUUUUCCAGUAUAUAUAGAUGCCUCUUUCCCAAACGAGGUGAAUGCUUUUUCAUAAACACACCAGACACAGCUGGUCAGCCUUGGAAAGCUUUACAUUUUUUGCAAGGGGGGUGAAAAGGUGUCUUCUCUUACUGGCCAGCUUUCUGGAUAAUCCCAGACAUUAACAGAAAUGCUUUUGUUAAGUUUGUUUUAUGAUUUUUGAGCUCCUUUAAUCUGCAGGAUAAAGAUAUAAUUUUUUUC